rnacentral:lncRNA from 1 species
CUUGGUCUCUUUUGUUUAAUUAUGACAAAGCAUUCUCUGCAAAAUGCCGCUGUUCUCAUCAUCCUGGUCCAAGCCAAGUUCUGAAUCUGAGAGUGGGACACCAGCCCGAAGCCAAAGAAUUCCUUUACAGAAUCUAGGUUCCAUGAAAAUACAAGAUUUUAAAAGCCAAUAAUAGCUUUUUAAGGAAGAGAGAUUAAAAAGCCUCAGAAUACGAAGUGCCCUGCCUUCCAUCCCAGCCCACCCAGACAAGCAACUGAACAAAGUGGAAUAUGGGCUAGUGUUGAGAAGCCAUUCUCAAAUCUCCACCAG